GAUGAACGCUAGCGGCAGGCCUAAUACAUGCAAGUCGAACGAUACCAGAGAGCUUGCUUUCUGGGAAAGUGGCGCACGGGUGCGUAACGCGUAUGCAACCUACCUUAAUCAGGGGGAUAGCCUCUCGAAAGAGAGAUUAACACCGCAUAAAAUCACACUUCGGCAUCGAAGAAUGAUCAAAUAUUUAUAGGAUUAAGAUGGGCAUGCGUGACAUUAGCUAGUUGGUAAGGUAACGGCUUACCAAGGCUACGAUGUCUAGGGGAUCUGAGAGGAUGACCCCCCACACUGGUACUGAGACACGGACCAGACUCCUACGGGAGGCAGCAGUAAGGAAUAUUGGUCAAUGGGGGCAACCCUGAACCAGCCAUGCCGCGUGCAGGAAGACGGCCCUACGGGUUGUAAACUGCUUUUAUACGGGAAUAAAUCUCGCUACGUGUAGUGAGUUGAAUGUACUGUAAGAAUAAGGAUCGGCUAACUCCGUGCCAGCAGCCG
rnacentral:rRNA from 1 species